rnacentral:lncRNA from 1 species
GCCAAGGUCACGGCUCAGUCCCACUUGCCUGCCCAGUGCCCGGCGCACUUCCUCAGGGGCACACAGCCCGGGUCUUCUCAAGUCAUGUUCGAUAUCUAGUUAAGGGGUACAUUUAUCUCCAGUGUUCCCCGGGACCUUCCCUUUUGAUUUUCAAGAACAUUUUCUUCCCUCUGCCAGAGCAGUCCUUUCGAAUCAAAGGCUCGGCUUUUCCAAAGCGUAGUUUCUGAUGUGGGCUUCAGUGGACUGGCUGCGAAGUUCCUGAGACAAUGAGAGGGGAUGCUGGCUGUCUCUUUCUCUUUAUCUUCUCGCAGUAAAGCUCCAGUUCUCCUUGAGGUAAAGUGGAGCCUCUGAUUGACGCGAGGACGCGGGGAAAAUGAAAGCCAUAUUAUUAUUAUUUCAAGUUGUGUUCUUGCGGCGUUCCCGGAUGUCUGUGGUGACCCUUCACUUGUUGUGUGAAGUCAACAAAACUGACCAGCACACCAUCUGAAUGCUACAGCGGGAUGGAGAUGGGAGGCGAAGCCUUGGAAGCUGGAGGGUGAAUAGCUGGUGUGCACAACCCCCUAGCAACGGGCAAACAAGGCAGGAGGAGUGUGGAAUGGGAGUCAGUGCUUAAUGGGCACUAAGUUUCCAUUUGGUUGUAGAGACGAUGGUGCUGAUGGCUAUAAGGCGUCUUGAAAGUGCUGAAUGCCACCAAACUGCACAAUUGAAACAGUUAAGAUGGUGAAUGUUGUGUGUGUUUUCCUGCCGCUGAAUACUGUAUUUUUUUUUUCUGGUAUGUUUUAUUCUUGUGUAAUCAGCUUUGUGGUUUUUUUUCCCCUUCCAGAUUAACUCGAGAAUCAACUUGUCACAUUCUAUUAAAAGUCCCUUUGAUAUUUUUACUGCAGUUACAUCAAGUUUAUGGAUUGCCUUGGGGAGAAGUGACAUUUUUAUGGUCCUGAUCUUUCCCCCAGGUGGAGGCCUCCUCAUUGACUGGGAUCUCUUUAUGUCUCUCAGUAAAGUUGUAUAAUUCCAUUUC